AUGAGCCCCAACCUCUUUUGUGUGAUUCUUUGUCUGCUGGUGGCAGGUCCCGUGGAUGCAGCAGUCACCCAGAAGCCAAGAUACCAUAUUAUACGAGCAGGAAACAAGAUGGUCCUGGAAUGUUCUCAGCAUAUGAACCAUCUGGGAAUGUUCUGGUAUCGGCAAGAUCCGGGACAGGGGCCAAGGCUGAUCCAUUAUUCGAAUGGCGUCGGCAGCACUGGCGAAGGGGACAUCACGGAAGGGUACAGUGUCUCCCGGAACAAGACUGAACAUUUCCCCCUGACCCUGGAGUCGGCCAGCACCAACGAGACCUCCUUGUACCUCUGUGCCAGCAGUGAAUCCACAGCAUGGCACGGUCACCGCUCUCCGCACAAAAACCUCAGCCGCAGGCGUGAGGCGGACACUUCUUCCUGA